UGAGUAACCUGCCCUUAACUCUGGGAUAAGCCUGGGGAAAACUGGGUCUAAUACCGGAUAUGACUCCUCAUCGCAUGGUGGGGGGUGGAAAGCUUUUUGUGGUUUUGGAUGGACUCGCGGCCUAUCAGCUUGUUGGUGAGGUAAUGGCUCACCAAGGCGACGACGGGUAGCCGGCCUGAGAGGGUGACCGGCCACACUGGGACUGAGACACGGCCAGACUCCUACGGGAGCAG
rnacentral:rRNA from 1 species